CAGAAAACUGCAAUCAGUCACAAUCAGUCACUUCCACAGUAUUGGACCUCCUCACUGUCACUCACUACACCUGAGCCAAUCACCUGCAGUCUCUCUCCCACCUGGAAUCCACCCAUUCCUUUGUUUGAAGCACAUCCAGAUUCACUCAGUCACUUGAACAGCAGGUUCACCCCACAUUCACUCAUCUCUGGAAACACAUUCACUUUCACUGCCUGGAAUCUUGGAAAUCACAGCAUCAAAGAAAGCCUUCAGCUCCACAACCAGCUCUUGGACUUCUGGAUGCCACCAACAUAAACCAAACAUUUUGCUGAACAGGUGAGGCUCCUAUGGAUGAUUGAACUGAUGGUGAGUCCCUGGAAAGAAGUGGAAGAGUCUGAAAAGAUUCACCCCUUCACCCCCCACUCAUUGGCAGGCCUCAAGCCUCACAGCUUCAUCCCUUCCCCAGUGGUGUGCAGAGCGAGCGAGCGUCAUACGGAUGGCGUACAGCAGUAGCCCUGGCAACCGCAGCAACUCCAUCCCAGAGCCCACCAGAGCCGCUGCGAUCACGUAGUUGACGAAAAAAGCUCCUUGGUCAGGUGCAUGAGUUUGGCCACGUCGUAGGCCAGAGUAACAGCACACACCUGGCAGGUGGGAUACGCCUCCCUGUGGAGAAACAGCACUGAGACUGAGGGACCGAACACACGAACAAGGUGUUUCUGGUCUACGGAGAGACGCAAGAGUCAGACAGGUGAGCAUGUUUCUAAUCCAACUCUAACAAAUCCAGUGUAAAGAAUAAGAACUCAAAUGAACACAAAGCCUUUUAGUUGUUCUUUUUUUCCUGUCAGUAUGUGCACAUAAACUGAAAAUGCAGAGGAUUGUGGGAUUCUCAGGCCUCCAGUUCAACAUAGCGAGGGAAUAUUUUCAUUUUCUGGCUUCGCUAAACCGAAAAACUGGCCGAGUCGCCACACAGAGCAGGUUAUCAACUCCAUAAGACAACCUGGGUUUCUGAAACUGGGUAUAAACGCAGGAAUUGGAUGACCAAUCACAAACAUGGAUGUCUGUAUUUCUAAAAAGAAGAAAAACAAACUAGAAUCUGAAACCGAUAUGAGGAAUUUAUAACUAUAGUACAAGGUGUCCAGUUACGCUGCUGCAGCCAAAACCAGGAAGAAAACUGUCUCUGCCUCCUAAAAGGUAUCAUCUGAGUAAAAUAUUAAUUAUGUAUAAGUGGGUGAGAUGAAAGAUUCUCAGUCAAUAUGAAGAUUGUGUAAUGAAAUUCCACAUGUAGGUCCUUUGUGCUGCUCACAAAAAUGAAAAAUCUUUGCAGGUAUUUCGUGUCCUUUGAGGGUUUUGUCUCUUAUUGUGGUUGUUUUUCAGUCUCUUUUACGUCAUUUUGUGUGACUUUGCAUCUCUUUGUGGUCAUUUUUGUGUCUCUUUGUGGUCAUUUUGCAUCUCUUUGUGGUCAUUUUUGUGUCUCUGUAGUCAUUUUGCAUCUCUUUGCAUCUCUUAGGUGUCACUUAAUGUAUCUUUGUGGUCAUUUUGUGUCUUUAUGCAUCUCUUAGGUGUCACUUAGUGUCUCUUUGUGGUCACUUUGUGUCUCCUUGCAUCUCUUUGUGGUCAUUUCUGUGUCUUUGCAUCUCUUUGUGGUUAUUUUGCAUCUCUUUGUGGUUAUUUUGCACCUCUUUGUGGUCAUUUUGUGUCUCUUUGCAUCUCUUUGUGGUCAUUUUGUGUCUCCUU